AUGGUAGGAUAGAGGCCUACCAUGGUGGUAACGGGUAACGGGGUGUUAGGGCACGACACCGGAGAGGGAGCCUGAGAAACGGCUACCACAUCCAAGGAUGGCAGCAGGCGCGCAAAUUACCCAAUCCCGACACGGGGAGGUAGUGACAAUAAAUAACAAUACGGGGUUCUUUAGGAUCUCGUAAUUGGAAUGAGUACAAUUUAAAUCUCUUAACGAGGAACAAUUGGAGGGCAAGUCUGGUGCCAGCAGCCGCGGUAAUUCCAGCUCCAAUAGCGUAUAUNAAAGUUGUUGCAGUUAAAAAGCUCGUAGUUGAAUUUCGGGGUCAGUAGGUCGGUCGUGCCACUGGUAUGAACUGGUUUUACUGAUUCCUCCCUCUUGAAGAACUGUAAUGCCAUUAAUUUGGUGUUGGAGGGAAUCAGGACUGUUACUUUGAAAAAAUUAGAGUGUUUAAAGCAGGCUUUAGCUUGAAUACAUUAGCAUGGAAUAAUGAAAUAGGACGUUUGAUCCUAUUUUGUUGGUUUCUAGGAUUGACGUAAUGAUUAAUAGGGAUAGUUGGGGGCAUUAGUAUUCAAUUGUCAGAGGUGAAAUUCUUGGAUUUAUUGAAGACUAACUACUGCGAAAGCAUUUGCCAAGGAUGUUUUCAUUAAUCAAGAACGAAAGUUAGGGGAUCGAAGACGAUCAGAUACCGUCGUAGUCUUAACCAUAAACUAUGCCGACUAGGGAUCGGAUGAUGUUAAUUUUUUAAUGACUCAUUCGGCGCCUUACGGGAAACCAAAGUGUUUGGG
rnacentral:rRNA from 1 species